UACAGAGGUCUCAAGCGUUGUUCGGAUUCAUUGGGCGUAAAGGGCGCGUAGGCGGCGCGACAAGUCACUUGUGAAAUCUCCGGGCUUAACUCGGAACGGUCAAGUGAAACUGUCAUGCUAGAGUGCAGAAGGGGCAAUCGGAAUUCUUGGUGUAGCGGUGAAAUGCGUAGAUAUCAAGAGGAACACCUGAGGUGAAGACGGGUUGCUGGGCUGACACUGACGCUGAGGCGCGAAAGCCAGGGGAGCAAACGGG
rnacentral:rRNA from 1 species